AGAGUUUGAUCCUGGCUCAGGAUGAACGCUAGCGGGAGGCCUAACACAUGCAAGCCGAGCGGUAUAGUUCCUUCGGGAACUAGAGAGCGGCGUACGGGUGCGUAACACGUGUGCAACCUACCUUUAUCUGGGGGAUAGCCUUUCGAAAGGAAGAUUAAUACCCCAUAAUAUAAUGAUUGGCAUCAAUUAUUAUUGAAAACUCCGGUGGAUAGAGAUGGGCACGCGCAAGAUUAGAUAGUUGGUGAGGUAACGGCUCACCAAGUCAAUGAUCUUUAGGGGGCCUGAGAGGGUGAUCCCCCACACUGGUACUGAGACACGGACCAGACUCCUACGGGAGGCAGCAGUGAGGAAUAUUGGACAAUGGGUGAAAGCCUGAUCCAGCCAUCCCGCGUGAAGGAAGACGGCCCUACGGGUUGUAAACUUCUUUUGUAUAGGAAUAAACCUAGAUACGUGUAUCUAGCUGAAGGUACUAUACGAAUAAGCACCGGCUAACUCCGUGCCAGCAGCCGCGGUAAUACGGAGGGUGCAAGCGUUAUCCGGAUUUAUUGGGUUUAAAGGGUCCGUAGGCGGACUUGUAAGUCAGUGGUGAAAUCUCAUAGCUUAACUAUGAAACUGCCAUUGAUACUGCAGGUCUUGAGUGAAUUUGAGGUAGCUGGAAUAAGUAGUGUAGCGGUGAAAUGCAUAGAUAUUACUUAGAACACCAAUUGCGAAGGCAGGUUACCAAGAUUCAACUGACGCUGAGGGACGAAAGCGUGGGGAGCGAACAGGAUUAGAUACCCUGGUAGUCC
rnacentral:rRNA from 1 species